UCCUUGGUGGCCCAGUGGUUAGGGCUCAGCACUUUUGGCUGCCGUGGCCCAGGUUCAGUCCCUGGUUGGGGGA
rnacentral:tRNA from 1 species